UAGCCCACCCUUACAAAUUCAACACUUACAUAUAAAUAAACCCACAUACACACUUAA
rnacentral:tRNA from 1 species